CUGAUUUUAGUUAUUCUCAACUGAAGAUCUCAGUUCUUUAAUCAUCAUCGUCGUCAUCAUCAUCAGUUUAGGGUUUCGAUUUCAGUUUUAUCAUCACCAGUUUUAGGGUUUUCUCUAAUCUGUUAUCAAAUCAUCUAAUCUUUGAAGAAUUGAUCUUCAAUCGUCUGUUAAGCGAGUUUAGGUUUUCGAUUUCACAGAUCUCUAGGUGUGGUUUGGUCGGACGAUCUAUCCAAGUUGAAGAUAUAUGUAUCUCAAGGGUGUUACCUCCUACCCAAUGACUUCAAUAAAUUUAUAGUGCACAAUGUCAAGGAGCUCAAAUUGUUGAUGAUGCACAACAGGACUUUUUGUGCUGAGAUUGCACACAACUUUUUUAUAAUAAAGAGGAAGGAUAUUGUUGAGCGCGCAUAUCAGUCGUAACUUGUAUGUCUGUGUUUCCAACAAGACAUCUAGGUUGAUCUUGCAUCAAAUAUCUUGGUAGACUUGCCUGACACAGUUGGGAGUUUACGGUAUCUUAAGGCUCUGCAUCUGAGUAAUAAUGGCCUCAAAUCCCUUCCUUCGACGCUAUUCAAAAUGUGCACCCAUCUCUCGACUCUUGAUCUUCAUAAUACAGAAAUCACAAUUGAUAUUCUCAGUCAGUUUGAAGGGUGGGAAAGUUUUGAUGAGCGUCGUAGAUUAAAGCAUCAAAAGCAACUGUAUUUCUGAGUUGGAAGUUCUGGUGUGUUUGAUGAAGGUGCUGAUAAAUAUUAAAAAGGUACU